ACCCUUCUGCGCUGUUUCUGCAGAAGACUCUGCAUCAUCCAUGGUAGAAUCUCUUUUCGAACACAGCUGCAUUUUGAGGUUUCUUCAAGCUGUCAACAUGUGAGGACUUGAAUGUUCAAAGAAUCUCAGAUGUAGGGGUUCCCAGCCUGGCUGGUGAAUCCUCUUCCGUCCCUGCAGCCCAGUUCUUAGAACUAGCAAAGACAUGCAUUUUAAAGUAUGUUUUUAUUCUUCGAUAAUUUUAUAUAAUGUGUUUUGGUCAUAUCUUCCCCACUCCUCCCAGAUCCCCAACUUCUCUUUAAUCCACCGAGUCCACUGUGUGCUGCUCAUGUUCUCAUGAGUGUGGGGUCACUCCAGUGGAGUGUAAUCAAUCUAGCAGGAGCGGAAACCAUCCAUGAAAGCUGACCCUGGAGGGAAGAAGCCAUUAGCUGUGACUAGUGCUAAGUAAGGGGUGGUGCUUGUGAACUCCUCCCACUAUGCAUCAGUGUUGAUUGGCUUGCUUUUCUGGAGGUCUUGUAUAGGCAACCACUGCUGAGUUCACAAUGGUCCAGUCAUGUCCAAAAGAUACCAUUUUUCUCUCUGCUCCUUCCUGACCUCUGACUCUCACAGUCUUUUUUCUUUCUUUUCUUUUUUUUUAAUUGGACAUUUUCUUUAUUUACAUUUCAAAUUUUAUCCCCUUUCUGCAUUUCCACUCCGAAACCCCCCUAUCCCAUUUCUCCUCCCCCUGUUCACUAACCCACCCAUUCUUGCUUCCCUGUCUUGGUAUUCCCUACACUGGGGCAUCGAGUCUUCACAGGACCAAGGGGGCCUCUCCUCUCAUUUAUAUCCCACAAGGCCACCUGCUACAUAUGUGACUGGCUCUCACGGUCUUUCUGUCCCUCUUUCAUGAUUGUCCCUGAGUUUUGAGGGGGCAGAUGGAGGAGGGCACUGACAUGACUUUCUUCAUUUUAUAUGAGAGGAAGCAGAUUCAGAUUACAGAACUUGUGGAUGCCAUGAAGCCGGGAAGUGUUGUAUAAAUCAUCCCGAUUUACAGCCAGGAUUUCCUCUCCAAGGACUGUUCUCCCUCCCUAUUGGUGGCACUCAUAGGACACAAUCAGAGAUCAAAGGGCAUCAGCGGGCAUUGGAGGGAGACGUUGGCACUACAUAAAGUGAAUAAAGGUCAGAAAGUGAGAAUCCUGUCCUUGGCAAAGGGGGAAGAAAUGCUAUAAUUUCAACACUGGGAAUAAGACAAUGAUGCUCACAAUGUGAUCCCCACACUAGUAGCUUCAGCAUCACACUACAACUUGUACAAGUACAAAUAUUACAGCUUGUAAAAAAUACAGAUUUGAUGGUCCACCAGGUUUGUAGAGUCAUACUCUGGUGGAGCUCAGGUUUCAGGUGACUGAUACAGAAGUUUGGAAGCUGUCAUGCAUGAUUUGAGUGAGAAGAUUAACCACUAAACACCUCCAAGACCUGAGUGGAUUUGGAAAACGAUAGUUUAUUUCUUACUGUAGGGUAUGCUUGUGAGUGCUCUGCUCUGCCACCUCUCAGACAACCCAGGCUCCUUCUGUUCUGUGCUCCACCUCCUGCGUCUCCUUAUUGCUGGUUAGGAACGGAGUGCGGACCAGAGAGGAGCUAGGCUCACUUUUCACCAUUCAAGACAUUCACCUUCAGGGGCUUCUAUAUCAAGGAUCCCGGGCUUCCUAUUCCAUAAACUGGUACAGGCAUGAAGGAUCACCCAUGAGCAGACAAUGCACUUCCUCCUCUAGAAUGAUUUUUUUUCUGCUGUUUCUGGCUACCCGCAAUGUGGCAAAGGAAAAGGGCUCUCACAGUCUUUUCUUCCUUUCUUUCUUUCUUUCUUUCUUUCUUUCUUUCUUUCUUUCUUUCUUUCUUUCUUUCUUUCUCUCUCUCUCUUUUAUUUUUUUAAUUAGAUAUUUUCUUUAUUUACAUUUCAAAUUUUAUCCCCUUUCUGCAUUUCCACUCCGAAACCCCCCUAUCCCAUUUCUCCUCCCCCUGUUCACUAACCCACCCAUUCUUGCUUCCCUGUCUUGGUAUUCCCUACACUGGGGCAUCGGAAUUCCUGCUUAAUCUCCAGUAGAACCUACAUCCAGCAAGGAAGUGUUGGAUGACUGAAUUCAAGGGGCCAGGAGGAUUCCCUGGGAGAAACGGCACCAGGAGAGGCCCACGUUCCUGGUUCUUUGUGCCACUUCCUGACCUUCUCUACGGACCCCAUGGUAAGAUCGUGGGGUCUCCAGAUUCCAGCUGUGGUAGACAGCUGGGGUCAGAACACAUUGGUUGCCUAGGUCAGAUUCUUCCUUAAGGAAAAAGUAGUUUACAGGUUUCCUAUGUAGGGAAGAAUAGUGGGGGGUAGUAAAUUAGGGAGCCAGUGAGGGUCAUGAUGUUAUCUCUGCAACAAGCCAGUCUUUCCUACUGCAUAGAGUUUCUUGCUCUGCAAGGAAUUUUGAAGGCCAUCAGCCACAGAUGGUAACUAGCAAACAAAACAACACCCAAAAUCAACCAAACAAAACCCAGUCAACUUUUCCUAAUGUUCGUGGAUGGACCUGAAUCAGAGUCACAUGCCCAUUUAGCACACAAGACUUUCUUUUAACAAGGACAAUGUGGGGUUUGCUCAGGGGAGAGAGCUGGUGGGUUCAGCCCACGUCUGAUUAUUCUGAUUUAACAUAUCAAGGAGCCAGGCCCUUCAGAGUGCAUCAGAAGAUCCAAAUUCACAAGGUCACUGUGUGUGCCCGACUUCCUCAUACUCACCAUCUCCAUCCAGUUAAUGAGUGACUUGACUGCUUACCUGUAUACAGUGGAGGAAACUAAGUUACGAAAGAGGACUGCCUAGGAGGCCUUGGGCUAUGCAAGUCUGGUUGGCUUUCAGCCUUGAACUCUCUCUAUAUAUCUAUAUAUAUGUGCAUAGCACAUGCAUACUACAAAAUUUGUGUGUGAACUUUGGGGGUUGGCUCUCUCCUUCCACCAUAUGGGAAUUGAACUCAGGUUGUCAGGGCUGGGGACAAAGCUUUUAUACACUGAGCCAUCAUCUUCACUACUCCCAACAUACUCCUUGUUUUCAAGAUAGUGUUCCACUGGCCUGGACCUUAUCAAAUAAGCUAGUCUGGCUGGUCACCCUCAAGGGUCUGCUUGUCUCUGUCUUCCCAGAAUUGGAAUUACAGGUGUACAUGCCACCACAUCUCCAUUUUUUUUUUUUUUUUGAAAUACUAUGGAUUCUGGAGUGAAAAACUCAGGUCCUCAUGUUUACAAAGCAAACACUUUACUGACUGUUGCGUCUCUCCAGGCCAAUAAUGGGUCAUGCUUGUGUUGGAAUUGCUGCUCAAUAACUGACAGACCAUACCAGGCCAAUGUAGUUUCAUGUGGCAGAGGUUGAUUGUGGGGGCAGAGGCAAAGAGGGAGUGACAGAG
rnacentral:lncRNA from 1 species